AUUGAACGCUGGCGGCAGGCCUAACACAUGCAAGUCGAACGAGUGGCGGACGGGUGAGUAAUGUGUGGGAAACCGCCUGAUGGAGGGGGAUAACCAGUGGAAAAGGUCUCUUAUAACGUAAUCUCUCGUAAGUGCCUAUAUGGGAAUAGGUGGUAGGUGGGGUAAAGGCUCACCUAGGCGACGACCCCUAGCUGGUCUGAGAGGAUGACCAGCCAAACUGGAACUGGGACACGGCCCAGACUCCUACGGGAGGAAGCAUUGGGGAAUAUUGGACAAUGGGCGCAAGCCUGCUGCAGACAUGCCGCGUGUAUGAAGAAGGCCUUCGGUUUGUAAAGUACUUUCAGCGGGGAGGCGUUACCGGCAGAAGAAGCACCGGCUAACUCCGUGCCAGCAGCCGCGGUAAUAC
rnacentral:rRNA from 1 species